rnacentral:rRNA from 1 species
GAUGAACGCUGGCGGCGUGCCUAAUACAUGCAAGUCGAGCGAACAGACGAGGAGCUUGCUCCUCUGACGUUAGCGGCGGACGGGUGAGUAACACGUGGAUAACCUACCUAUAAGACUGGGAUAACUUCGGGAAACCGGAGCUAAUACCGGAUAAUAUAUUGAACCGCAUGGUUCAAUAGUGAAAGACGGUUUUGCUGUCACUUAUAGAUGGAUCCGCGCCGCAUUAGCUAGUUGGUAAGGUAACGGCUUACCAAGGCAACGAUGCGUAGCCGACCUGAGAGGGUGAUCGGCCACACUGGAACUGAGACACGGUCCAGACUCCUACGGGAGGCAGCAGUAGGGAAUCUUCCGCAAUGGGCGAAAGCCUGACGGAGCAACGCCGCGUGAGUGAUGAAGGUCUUCGGAUCGUAAAACUCUGUUAUUAGGGAAGAACGAAUGUGUAAGUAACUAUGCACGUCUUGGCGGUACCUAAUCAGAAAGCCACGGCUAACUACGUG